rnacentral:pre_miRNA from 1 species
CUUGUACUCCCUCCGUCCGAAAAUACUUGUCAUUGAAAUGGAUGUAUCUAGAUGUAUUUUAGUUCUAGNUUGAAAUGGAUGUAUCUAGAUGUAUUUUAGUUCUAGACACAUCCAUUUUGAUGACAAGUAAUUCCGGGCGGAGGGAGUACUUG